rnacentral:misc_RNA from 1 species
AAGGAUCAUUACCGAAUUGUCAACACGAGUUGUUGCUGGUCCUCAAACGGGGGCACGUGCACGCUCUGUUUACACAUCCACUCACACCUGUGCACCCUCUGUAGUUCUAUGGCUCUCGGGGGACUCUGUCCUCUUGUCGUGGUUCUACAUCUUUACACAAACACUGUAAUAAAGUCUCAUGGAAUGUAUGCCGCGUUUAACGCAAUACAAUACAACUUUCAGCAACGGAUCUCUUGGCUCUC